rnacentral:rRNA from 1 species
UACGUAGGCAGCGAGCGUUGUUCGGAGUUACUGGGCGUAAAGGGUGUGUAGGCGGUUGUUUAAGUUUGGUGUGAAAUCUCCCGGCUCAACUGGGAGGGUGCGCCGAAUACUGAAUGACUUGGAGUGCGGGAGAGGAGAGUGGAAUUCCUGGUGUAGCGGUGAAAUGCGUAGGUAUCAGGAGGAACACCUGUGGCGAAAGCGGCUCUCUGGACCACAACUGACGCUGAGGCGCGAAAGCUAGGGGAGCAAACAGG